UACGAAGGGGCUAGCGUUGCUCGGAAUCACUGGGCGUAAAGCGCACGUAGGCGGAUCUUUAAGUCAGGGGUGAAAUCCUGGAGCUCAACUCCAGAACUGCCUUUGAUACUGAGGAUCUUGAGUCCGGGAGAGGUGAGUGGAACUCCGAGUGUAGAGGUGAAAUUCGUAGAUAUUCGGAAGAACACCAGUGGCGAAGGCGGCUCACUGGCCCGGUACUGACGCUGAGGUGCGAAAGCGUGGGGAGCAAACAGG
rnacentral:rRNA from 1 species